GCGGGGGUGCCCGAGCUGGUCAAAGGGGGCGGACUUAAGACUAGCGUUAAGUGAUCCGCUGGCGUAGGCCUGCGUGGGUUCAAGUCCCACCCCCCGCA
rnacentral:tRNA from 1 species